UACAGAGGGUGCUAGCGUUGUUCGGAAUCAUUGGGCGUAAAGCGCACGUAGGCGGAUUUGUAAGUCAGGGGUGAAAUCCCGGGGCCUCAACCUCGGAACUGCCUUUGAUACUGCAAAUCUCGAGUCCGGAAGAGGUGAGUGGAAUUCCUAGUGUAGAGGUGAAAUUCGUAGAUAUCAGGAAGAACACCGGUGGCGAAGGCGGCUCUCUGGGCCUUACCUGACGCUG
rnacentral:rRNA from 1 species